rnacentral:tRNA from 1 species
CCCCAGAUGGUGAAAUUGGUAGACGCGCUAGAUUUAGAAUCUGGUAUCGAAAGGUGUGCGAGUUCGAGUCUCGCUCUGGGGA